GACGAACGCUGGCGGCGUGCCUAACACAUGCAAGUCGAACGAAGAUUGUUUAGAAGGAGACUUCGGUCAAUUUCUAUUUAAUCUUAGUGGCGGACGGGUGAGUAACGCGUGAGUAACCUGCCGUUCAGAGGGGGACAACAGUUGGAAACGACUGCUAAUACCGCAUAAUGUCUAACCGAGGCAUCUCGGAUAGACCAAAGGAGCAAUCCGCUGUAAGAUGGACUCGCGUCCAAUUAGAUAGUUGGUGGGGUAACGGCCCACCAAGUCGACGAUCAGUAGCCGACCUGAGAGGGUGAUCGGCACAUUGGGACUGAGACACGGCCCAAACUCCUACGGGAGGCAGCAGUGGGGAAUAUUGGGCAAUGGGGGAAACCCU
rnacentral:rRNA from 1 species